rnacentral:rRNA from 1 species
AUUGAACGCUGGCGGCAGGCCUAACACAUGCAAGUCGAACGAGUGGCGGACGGGUGAGUAAUGUCUGGGAAACUGCCCGAUGGUGGGGGAUAACUACUGGAAACGGUAGCUAAUACCGCAUACCAUCAGAUGUGCCCAUAUGGGAUUAGCUAGUAGGUGGGGUAAAGGCUCACCAAGGCGACGAUCCCUAGAUGGUCUGAGAGGAUGACCAGCCACACUGGAACGGAGACACGGUCCAGACUCCUACGUGAGUCAGCAGUGGGGAAUAUUGCACAAUGGGCGCAAGCCUGAUGCAGCCAUGCCGCGUGUAUGAAGAAGGCCUUCGGGUUGUAAAGUACUUUCAGCGAGGAGGCGUUACCCGCAGAAGAAGCACCGGCUAACUCCGUGCCAGCAGCCGCGGUAAUAC